rnacentral:rRNA from 1 species
UACGUAGGGGGCAAGCGUUGUCCGGAAUCAUUGGGCGUAAAGAGCGUGUAGGCGGCUCGAUAAGUCCGCUCUGAAAGCCCGGGGCUCAACCCCGGGAGGCGGGCGGAUACUGUCGAGCUAGAGUCCGGAAGAGGCGAGUGGAAUUCCUGGUGUAGCGGUGAAAUGCGCAGAUAUCAGGAGGAACACCAAUGGCGAAGGCAGCUCGCUGGGACGGUACUGACGCUGAGACGCGAAAGCGUGGGGAGGCAAACAGG